rnacentral:lncRNA from 10 species
AAACCAUCUGUCCAGCCAAACCAAAAUAGCACUGUGCUUCCAGCCUCUGCACCCUGGCUCCUGCCUUGUCGCUGGCUUGAACCACCCUCCCCCAACUCUCUGCUUAAUGAAACUUAAUCAUCCUUUAAUCCGAAGCUCAACUGUCCUGUCUUCUAUAUUGCCUUCCUGAUUAUUACAGCAGGAAGUAAUUUCUCUUGCUCGAAAUGCAGUUAAUUAAAAAAAUGGGCGACUUUGGUGCCAUCAUAUGGACAGAAUAAAAUAGUUUAAAUGGCUGAGCUUGAAAACUGAACUUCCUGUGCUGUUGCUGGCUAGCAUUAAAUGCGUAUCCCCUCCCAAGAAGGCCUCCUUCUUUCAUAAACUUGUAUUAGUUCUCACCAGGAGUAGUGUGAGAAUAAAGUAUAGUGGUCGUUGGGGUGUAUCCAUGGACCAAAUAGCAGAAGCCACAGAGAAACUCAGGUGUCUUAACCAAGUCUGGCAUCCUAUAAAUUGGAUUAGGAUAAUAGAGACAAAGGAAGAUAAAUUUCUGAUUUAAAAAGGGGAGAAGAACACAGCCAGACAUCUCAGAAAGCUGGCCACUGUGUUUUUGAACACCUCACAAAGGUUACAAAACAGGGACCUCUGUGAAGUUAGCUUUUCUAACUCUGAGCCAUGACUUUUUUUUUUUUAAGAGAUGGGAUCUCACUAUGUUGCCCAGGCUGGUCUUGAACUUCUGGAUUCAAGUGAUUUGAUUUUCCUGCCUUGGACUCCCAAAGUGCUGGGAUUACAGGUAAGCCACUGCACCCAUCCUGAUCCAUGUCUUUUAACUAAACAUGCCCCCAGAUAAAAAUUUAGGAACACUAAUUUUACAUAGAAAUGAACAACAGAAAAGGAUCCAGGUUAAAUCCCAUACAAAUUUUAUUAGAAAAAAGAGAAUAAGGAGCUCAAUAGGGCAAGUCCUCAAAUACUAAAUAAGAUCAAAACUGUAACCUACCGUUUCAAAAUGAAAUGAAAGACACUAGGAAAGUUAUAUAACAUACGAAAGAAUAACACAA